AAAGUCGUAACAAGGUUUCCGUAGGUGAACCUGCGGAAGGAUCAUUAAUGGGUUACCGCCUUCGGGCACACCCCCACCCUUUGUAACUGCGGCCCGGAUUCGGCGCCUGGCGGGACUACCCCCCGUUUGCGGGGGGCCCCGCCUGCCGGAAUUAGCCAACCCUGCCUAGAAAAUUGAAGUCUGAGAACAAGUUAAAUUAAACAAAACUUUCAACAACGGAUCUCUUGGUUCUG
rnacentral:misc_RNA from 1 species